UAUGAUCCGGAGAUUUCCGAAUGGGGCAACCCAGCAGUUUUAAUCAACUGUUACCACUAGAUGAAUUCAUAGUCUAGUUGGAGGUAAACGCUGUGAACUGAAACAUCUCAUUAGCAGCAGGAAUAUAAAGAAAUUUCGAUUCCCUAAGUAGCGGCGAGCGAACGGGGAACAGCCCAAACCAAAGUGCUUGCACUUUGGGGUUGUAGGACUGAACAUUUGAGUUACCAAAGAACUUGAUAGUCGAAGGAUUUGGGAAAAUCCGCCAUAGAUGGUGAUAGCCCAGUAGAUUAAAUCAAAUUCUCUCAGUUCAGGAUCCUGAGUACGGCGGAACACGUGAAAUUCCGUCGGAAUCCGGGAGGACCAUCUCCCAAGGCUAAAUACUACCUAGUGACCGAUAGUGAACCAGUACCGUGAGGGAAAGGUGAAAAGCACCCCGGGAGGGGAGUGAAAUAGUUCCUGAAACCAUGUGCCUACAAUAAGUCAGAGCGCGUUAAUGCGUGAUGGCGUGCCUUUUGUAGAAUGAACCGGCGAGUUAUGAUCCCGUGCAAGGUUAAGACUAAAAAGUCGGAGCCGUAGCGAAAGC
rnacentral:rRNA from 2 species